ACGCUCGACACCUACGGGGCAGCAGUGGGGAAUAUUGCACAAUGGGGGAAACCCUGAUGCAGCGACGCCGCGUGAGCGAAGAAGUAUUUCGGUAUGUAAAGCUCUAUCAGCAGGGAAGAAACUGACGGUACCUGACUAAGAAGCACCGGCUAAAUACGUGCCAGCAGCCGGGUAAUCUGAGCGGGCUGGCAAGGC
rnacentral:rRNA from 1 species